rnacentral:lncRNA from 1 species
AAGAAUGGACCAAGAGCAAAACCUAAAAUUGGGUCAAAACCCUAGCACAAAGACAAGAUUCAAAGCCUAACCAAAUGACCAAACCAGGACCCAUCCUUUUGCAUAUCACACCUUCAAACACUCCCUCUAAUGUCCUCAAAAGGACCAACAUCAAAUCAAUGAUCAAGUGCCUCAACUUACCUAUGCCAUGCAAUGACCAAAAAUAUGCACAAAAUGAACUUCC